CUGUGCUUUGAUUUACACGAAGCGGACAAAGUUGUGAGUUUACAGCAUUCCAGUUCCUUCCCUCAUUAGGAACCCAGAAAGGCAAUUCCAACAGUCCCUCGGGAAAGGGGCUGCAACGCUCUGAGUACAAUACGAAGGCAGCUGAACCUAUCUCAUGAAAUCUUGGCCAAAAUAUGGAGAAUAUGGAAUACCUGGUAUGGCAAAAGGCUUUCUCUGUUAAACGUGUCAAAGAAGGUUGUAAAUACUUUGGGGGUGCAAAAAUCAAGUUCUUUCACUAGCUGACUCUUAACUGCACUACCCUUCUGAAAGCACAAUGUAAAAAAUUUGGGGGUGGGGGUGGAAACUGGGAAGCUGCAAAUUCUCUUUUAAGAGCUUGGAGCAGAUCGAAGCCCUCUUGUUUCAGGAUGCAAACUGGCUUGUUACAGAGGAUUUGGGGAAAAAACUCCCUUGGAACAGCUGGAGCCGAUCCCCAUCGGAGUCAGAAUGCAGGGCCAGGUGGUCAGGGUAAAAGCAAGAGUUUGCAGAAGAUGGGCUGAAGCUUUCGCCGUGGUUCUGGAGGAUGCACAGGACUCCUUUCCAGCAAAGAAGCAGUAACCUGGAUGCAGCUGACUUCUGCCUGACACUCAACAGUUUAUUGUGGUCCCCAUCCCAAAAACGAGCACAGAGGCUCCCAAGCUGACCGGUUCUCUGCAUGCGCUGCAGCGGUGCCAGGUGAAAAAGGGGUUGCAAUGCAAUUAGCAAGACCAGCCGUAACCACAGAGCCGUGCUUGGCACUUUGCUUCCCCUCGUGGAUUCAGGCACCAGCUGCACAACACAAAGCAGGGCUGUGGAUCGAGCCAGAAAGAUCUGGCUGGCUGAGAGGCCCUGCUUUCACCUGGAUGCAACCUUGCCAUCGAGUUCAUCCCUGCAGUGCCCAGCAGCAACCACUGAACCUUGGCUCUCCAGCCUCCUCUUCCAGAUCUGCAACCCUCUGCAAAGGACACAGGACUUCAGUGAAAGUGCUGCUUUACCUCACUCUGGAUUUUAUAUCCCAGCUAGGUAUACUGAUUUUUUUUUUUCAACUUCCUUUUCAAUCAGUCACUUUGGCAUCGUUAUGGCUUGGGUUGCUCUUUUCUGAAGUCUGUUUUAAUUCUUUACCUUUGUAUUUUAGCAGCGAGUUGCCUUGA
rnacentral:lncRNA from 1 species